rnacentral:rRNA from 1 species
UACGGAGGGGGCUAGCGUUAUUCGGAAUUAUUGGGCGUAAAGAGCUCGUAGGCGGUUUGUUGCGUCGGCUGUGAAAACCUGAGGCUCAACCUCAGGCCUGCAGUCGAUACGAGCAGACUAGAGUGUUGCAGGGGAGACUGGAAUUCCUGGUGUAGCGGUGAAAUGCGCAGAUAUCAGGAGGAACACCGGUGGCGAAGGCGGGUCUCUGGGCAACAACUGACGCUGAGGAGCGAAAGCGUGGGGAGCGAACAGG